rnacentral:lncRNA from 1 species
CCCCAAUUGGGUUGUGAUUCUUCCGGCUAUCCAUCAGCCUCGGUGAUCUCGAAAUGAUAAACACAUUAAACUCAAGUUCAAAAUACUAUGUUACGAUAAGCAUGCAAUACCAAACUCUUACUUGACCCAACAAUAUAUAUUCUCUACUACCACAGUGUGUCAAGAAGAUAUGAUGGUCUGGAAGCCCCGCAAACUUCAAAACUAUACACAAUAGAAGGACUUUCAUGUUUGAUCAGUUGAACUGUGCCUCACCGUGACUUCACAAAUCCUUCAUUUCAGCUAUCCCUACUGG